GGCGAUGUAGCCAAGCGGUAAGGCACGGGUCUGCAACACCCUGAUCACCAGUUCGAUCCUGGUCGUCGCCU
rnacentral:tRNA from 1 species